UGCCAGCCGCCGCGGUAAUACGGAGGGGGCGAGCGUUGUUCGGAAUUACUGGGCGUAAAGCGCACGUAGGCGGAUUGGUCAGUUGGGGGUGAAAUCCCGAGGCUUAACCUCGGAACUGCCCUCAAUACUGCCAAUCUAGAGAUCGGAAGAGGUAAGUGGAAUUCCUAGUGUAGGAGUGAAAUCCGUAGAUAUUCGGAGGAACACCAGUGGCGAAGGCGGCUUUCUGGACCAAUACUGGCGCUGAGAUGCGAAAGCGUGGGGAGCGAACAGGAUUAGAUA
rnacentral:rRNA from 1 species